AAUACCCGAUGUUGUCCACAUAUGGCAUCUGACGUGGACCAAAGAUUCAUCGGUGGAGGAUGGGGAUGCGUCUGAUUAGCUUGUUGGUGCGGGUAACGGCCCACCAAGGCGACGAUCAGUAGGGGUUCUGAGAGGAAGGUCCCCCACAUUGGAACUGAGACACGGUCCAAACUCCUACGGGAGGCAGCAGUGAGGAAUAUUGGUCAAUGGACGUAAGUCUGAACCAGCCAAGUAGCGUGCAGGAUUGACGGCCCUAUGGGUUGUAAACUGCUUUUGUUGGGGAGUAAAGUGGGGCACGCGUGCCUUUUUGCAUUUACCCUUCGAAUAAANACCGGCUAAUUCCGUGCCAGCAGCCGCGGUAAUACGGAAGGUCCACCNNUUAUCCGGAUUUAUUGGGUUU
rnacentral:rRNA from 1 species